GAUCCUUGAAGAAGCGAUACCGUAGUCUAUAAUCUAGCUAUAUAAAAAUGCAGCGCGCUGAUUGGCUGUCGCGACGCGCCGCGGCGUGCCGAGCGUCCUCGCGCUGUGUGUAGAGUGCGCAUCUUCAAUUUUUUUGCAUCAAGCAACCGUCACGAAAACAUCCAUCGACAUCGUUCUGCGAAAAGUGCGUCUUGUAUGGAAAUAAGUAUUGGGAGUGUCGAAAUAGCGAUGUACGAUCGUCGGGACGCAUUUUCUGGAUAUAGAUUGCAACGAAGAUAUUAAUAAUUCGAGUAGUUAUGGAUGCAAUAUUGAAAAAUUUGAUUCAAGUCAAGCCAAUUCUGUUCGAAGAGUAGAAAGCAGAACACGGCGGAGCUUGACUCGACGAGGUUUAUAUGAGUCG